GGCCAAAGUCGAUCACGAGGAUCGGCCGGAAAGUCUUAAGCCACCGGAAGUCGAAGAUGUUGCUCUCGGUGACCUCUUGGAUCCUGGUAGCGCCAAGAUUCGACGAUUCUGACUCGUAGUAGGCGUACUCAGUGAACAUCCGACGCGUCGAUCACCCACCGACACUUUAUAGGCACCUCGAACGGCCCCGGAAAAUUUGGCGUCAGUAUCACCCCCCUGGAGGCUGUCAGCCGGCCCCCGCAGGACGAAUCGGACCUCGAUUCAACCACCUUGACGAGGAGGCAGAGACGGCACACUUCCAAAACCAACGGCCAGAUAUACUUAUUGUACAUUUUAACUCUACCUCCUGGCCUGCCUCCCUCCACCCAAACCUGGACACAAUUUUCAAGAUCAAAGUGUUACGGCUUCCAAUUGUAUGUAGACGGAUCUUUUUUCGCAGCAUUAAACGAACUCCGCCUUAGAAAUUGAAAUGAUCAGGGAAUACUCAUGAUUGGGUAAUCUGAAUAACAUAUUGUGCAAUGUGGCUAAAAUAAAAACCAGCAGCAGUGCAUAUCACAUGGAAAGAAAAGACGCGAAUUCUCGAUAAAAUAAAAAUUGUUCAUCAGACAUUCUAAGAAAAGAAGAAAUACGUUAAAAACUGGCUCAUAAAGUGUAAAAAUUAAAUUAGUUG